GUUCGACUGCUAGAGCCGAGCGAAGCGUGAGUGCGCGGGACCCCCUACCCCUACUCCUCGGGGCCCCCACCCUCCCAGCCGGGCCGUGAGCUGCCUUCGGCCCUCCACUCCUCUCGCCGGCAAUGGCCGCGGGAAAUGGCGGCUCUGCCUUACCUCCCCCUUCCCCUCGGCGUCCCCGGCCCCCUUCUCCGUUUCUGACUCCACGCCUGACGCGCUGUGGGCCCUUCCGCGGUAGACUCCUGUCCCCGGGGAGCCGAGUCGAGGCGGCGGGCGCUGCGGCCCGGGGCGGUAGAUUGAGGGCGGCCGGGGAGUGAGGAGUCGCGGGGAGAGAGUCGCGGCGUCCCCGGGACAAUGCGGCGGCGGCCUGCCUAGGCUCAUUAAGGAUGCCUAAAUCAAAGGAACUUGUUUCUUCAAGCUCUUCUGGCAGUGAUUCUGACAGUGAGGUUGACAAAAAGUUAAAGAGGAAAAAGCAAGUUGCUCCAGAAAAACCUGUAAAGAAACAAAAGACAGGUGAGACUUCGAGAGCCCUGUCAUCUUCUAAACAGAGCAGCAGCAGCAGAGAUGAUAACAUGUUUCAGGU
rnacentral:lncRNA from 1 species